GAUAUACUUACCAAGUUUCAUGAAGGCUGGCAGAGGUGUUCAACAACUGUUAGGGGCAAUUAACAAACACACACACAGCAAGUUGAUCUUGUGUCUAUUACUGAUUUUUAAAAAUAUGGAGAUAGGCCUAAAAGGGAAGGGAAUGACACACAGAUAUAGGGCAAAAAUAUACAUACAAGAUAUCCUACUGAAUAAGACAUACCAGAAAUACUUAAUUUUAUAACACUAAGUGUAACAAAAUACUAUAAAUACAUGUUAAGGAAAAGUAGCCAGAAGAUUAACAUUCAAGCCAUAACUGUUAAACAUAUUUACGUUGUUACAUAUUUCAUUCGCAGCUAAGGUGAAGCGAACAGGACGUUUAUCAGGAUAUUUUAUUAUAGAUUUGCCAUUUCUUAUUGUACAUGUUUAUUUUUUAGUCAGAGUCUUCUGGCAGCAUUCCAAUGAGGAUCAGACAAGAAUGGCAUUGAAGAGGAAGGAGCAUUAUGAUGGAGAUCACCCUGCUGCCAAGAGAGCGAGACUGCUGCAGGUGGAUGAUACUCAGGAAAUGUUCGGAUCACUUGGCAGAACCUUCUUUCAGGAGUGCCCAGAAGAUGCUGACAAUGAUGAUAUUUUGAUUUUAGAUUAUGAAGACCUUGUGAAAGAAAUGGAUGAUCUGUUUAGUGAUAUAUACUUGUAGUUUUCUAAUUAUAUGUAUAAGGAAUGUAUUCUGAUUAUUUUGUAAUUUUCUAAUUGUAUAAGGAAUGUAUUUUUACUAUUAUAAAUUAAUAAAUCUGUAGUUAUGUAAACAGAAA